rnacentral:rRNA from 1 species
AGAAUCAACGCUGGCGGCGUGCCUAACACAUGCAAGUCGAACGAGAAAGUGGAGCAAUCCAUGAGUAAAGUGGCGCACGGGUGAGUAACACGUGACUAACCUACCCUUGAGUGGGGAAUAACUGAGGGAAACCUUAGCUAAUACCGCAUAAUACCUACGGGUCAAAGGAGCAAUUCGCUUAAGGAGGGGGUCGCGGCAGAUUAGCUAGUUGGCGGGGUAAUGGCCCACCAAGACGAUGAUCGGUA